rnacentral:rRNA from 2 species
GAAUCCUUGCGGCCGAAUAUCCAAGGUUUCCAGAGUAAAGCUGAUCUGCUCUGGGUAAGUCGGGGCCUAAGGAGAGGCAGAGAUGCGUAUCCGAUGGACAGCAGGUUUAAGAUUCCUGCACCCCUUGUUAUCAGAACUGCGGGGACACGGGAAGGGAAGCAGAACCGGGAAUGGAAAGCCCGGUGCAAGCGAAGUAGUCGCAGGGUUGGAAAAUCCGCCCUGCAUGAGACGAAGGCGUGAUGCGGAGCGAAAUGAAGUAGUGAAGCUGCGGCCCCUUCCUGUCGAGAAAAGCCGCUAUCGUGUAGCAAGGGCCCGUACCGUAAACCGACACAGGUGGAUGAGGAGAGGAUCCUAAGGCCGGCGGGAGAAGUGUUGUUAAGGAACUCGGCAAAAUGACUCCGUAACUUCGGGAGAAGGAGUGCUGCGCAAGCAGCCGCAGAGAAAUGGCCCAAGCAACUGUUUAGCAAAAACACAGGUCUAUGCGAAACCGGAAGGUGAGGUAUAUGCUGACGCCUGCCCGGUGCUGGAAGGUUAAGGGGAGAGCUUAGCGCAAGCGAAGGUUUGAACUUAAGCCCCAGUAAACGGCGGCCGUAACUAUAACGGUCCUAAGGUAGCGAAAUUCCUUGUCGGGUAAGUUCCGACCCGCACGAAAGGCGUAAUGAUUUGG